rnacentral:rRNA from 1 species
CACUCCUGCGGGAGGCAGCAGUGGGGAAUAUUGCACAAUGGGCGCAAGCCUGAUGCAGCCAUGCCGCGUGUAUGAAGAAGGCCUUCGGGUUGUAAAGUACUUUCAGCGGGGAGGAAGGCGAUAAGGUUAAUAACCUUGUCGAUUGACGUUACCCGCAGAAGAAGCACCGGCUAACUCCGUGCCAGCAGCCGCGGUAAUACGGAGGGUGCAAGCGUUAAUCGGAAUUACUGGGCGUAAAGCGCACGCAGGCGGUCUGUCAAGUCGGAUGUGAAAUCCCCGGGCUCAACCUGGGAACUGCAUUCGAAACUGGCAGACUAGAGUCUUGUAGAGGGGGGUAGAAUUCCAGGUGUAGCGGUGAAAUGCGUAGAGAUCUGGAGGAAUACCGGUGGCGAAGGCGGCCCCCUGGACAAAGACUGACGCUCAGGUGCGAAAGCGUGGGGAGCAAACAGGAUUAGAUACCCCAGUAGUCCCAUGA